GGCAUGUUAUUGGAGCAGAAGGAGGAGGCGGUGCUUCAGCUGCUGUCGGAUCAUUCGCUCCUCGAGGAACAAGUCAAAAUCGCCUUGAAAACCUUGCAGGACUCAGGCAGAGUGCCGAGGGGACAGAAGUGAGCGACGGCUCUGACAGAGAGGAAGUGGAAUCCAUUGGCAAGACGCUUUUCAAUGUUGUGCAUCAGUUAGACCCCACCCACUGCGCUGACAUCACCGGAAUGCUGAAACAGAUUCUGUCCGAACGGAGCAUCCUGGAAGUUGCAGUUCAGAGAGCAAAAAGUGCACUGGAGGGCUUGCUGAGCCCAACACACUCAGAAAUGUCAGAAUGAGGCUUGGAAUCUCUGCAGACUAUUUAAAGCCUGAAUUGCUGUGCAUUUUACUUGCAUCAUUCAAGACAUUGUUUACAUGGACUUCCUUUUUAGGAUUUUUGACACAUUUAUUGAUAUAAAUGAGGAGGAAAAGGAGAGGAAAAGAUUGUGAAGAAAAAAGGUGGAAUUGCAUCAGGCUGGAUUUGAACCUGCUUUACCUGCAUGAGCACCUCAGCUAAAUGCGUCUAGAGCAUGUGCAUUAACCACUAGGUCAUGGCUUUUGCAUUCCAGAUGCGGCCGCACAUUUACAUAUAAUGUAAAUAUGUUUGUAAAUAAAGAAUGCAAAGUUUCUCUCUGUAGUUUUUUAUGAGAUUUAUGUAAAUUCUAAAAAU
rnacentral:lncRNA from 1 species